UUUGUCAUGUAGAUCUCCUGGCAUUUUUUUAAAGGGUAGAUUAAUUUAGGGGAGCUCUCGGAUCCAAUUUCCCCCGGCAAUGGCUCUAUUAGGCUGUGCACAGCAGAUACAGGCUCCCGUCCUCCUGCUGCUACUGAUGGAAUUUGAUUCCGCGCUGCCAAAUCUGCAGGGCUGCAAACACAUUCCCACUCCUGAUUAAUCGCCGUCCCCCGGGCUGCCGUGGGACCGGGCUCUCCGAGUGGUUUUGGAGAGGCAGAACCAGUUGCCCCGCGGGCACACGACUCCCACAGCGACGCUGCCUAUUCCCAAGCGCCACCUGAUGGCAUCACCGCCAGGAAGGAUUUGUUCGACAGCGUUUAUACUCGCACAGACACAGGAAUCAGCUCCAACAGCACGGAGGGUGGAAAUGGGAAACGGGGCCGCUGAGAGCAGCCCUGGCUCAGGACCCUGCCCUGUGUCCAUCCCCGGGGUGGGGCAGAGCAAAGCCGAGCUCAGGGGAUGCACACCACGGCUCCCCUCUUCUUCUCAAGCCCAUCGAAGUUCUUCCAAGCUACCCAGGAGGCAGGGAGAUCCUGCUAGCCCCCACAACUCCCCCCUUUUUAAUUCUCCUGGACGUGCCUGAGAAAACAGCUCUGUGUUUAUAAACGUGAGAAGGAAUUGCACAGAAAUCCCGGGAGCGGCAAGUCCCGACACCUCCCACACGGCAACGCGAGAGAAGCCACUUUCCUCUGCCACCAGACGAGGGGCUUUGUCACACCAGUGUCACCCCCACCUCCCUCUGCCUCCCCAGAGGUGCCACCCAGACGUGUGGGGGGACCCUCUGUCUGCAACAGCCACGCAGAGGUCGGACACACUCCAGACAAACGAGAGGGUCUCCCCCGAAUCAGCAAACACAACCUGAGCUCACACA